rnacentral:rRNA from 1 species
UGAUGGCCAGGCUGUCUCCACCCGAGACUCAGUGAAAUUGAACUCGCUGUGAAGAUGCAGUGUACCCGCGGCAAGACGGAAAGACCCCGUGAACCUUUACUAUAGCUUGACACUGAACAUUGAGCCUUGAUGUGUAGGAUAGGUGGGAGGCUUUGAAGCGUGGACGCCAGUCUGCGUGGAGCCGACCUUGAAAUACCACCCUUUAAUGUUUGAUGUUCUAACGUGGAUCCGUAAUCCGGGUUGCGGACAGUGUCUGGUGGGUAGUUUGACUGGGGCGGUCUCCUCCUAAAGAGUAACGGAGGAGCACGAAGGUUGGCUAAUCCUGGUCGGACAUCAGGAGGUUAGUGCAAUGGCAUAAGCCAGCUUGACUGCGAGCGUGACGGCGCGAGCAGGUGCGAAAGCAGGUCAUAGUGAUCCGGUGGUUCUGAAUGGAAGGGCCAUCGCUCAACGGAUAAAAGGUACUCCGGGGAUAACAGGCUGAUACCGCCCAAGAGUUCAUAUCGACGGCGGUGUUUGGCACCUCGAUGUCGGCUCAUCACAUCCUGGGGCUGAAGUAGGUCCCAAGGGUAUGGCUGUUCGCCAUUUAAAGUGGUACGCGAGCUGGGUUUAGAACGUCGUGAGACAGUUCGGUCCCUAUCUGCCGUGGGCGCUGGAGAACUGAGGGGGGCUGCUCCUAGUACGAGAGGACCGGAGUGGACGCAUCACUGGUGUUCGGGUUGUCAUGCCAAUGGCACUGCCCGGUAGCUAAAUGCGGAAGAGAUAAGUGCUGAAAGCAUCUAAGCACGAAACUUGCCCCGA